rnacentral:rRNA from 1 species
CCUACGGGAGGCUGCAGUGAGGAAUAUUGGUCAAUGGGCUUACGCCUGAACCAGCCAAGUCGCGUGAGGGAAGACUGCCCUAUGGGUUGUAAGCCUCUUCUGCCAGGGAGCAAUUGACGCUACGUGUAGCGUUAUCGAGAGUACCUGAAGAAAAAGCAUCCGCUAACUCCGUGCCAGCAGCCGCGGUAAUACGGAGGAUGCGAGCGUUAUCCGGCUUUAUUGGGUUAAAAGGGUGCGUAGGCGGAAUGCCAAGUCAGCGGUAAAAUCGCGGGGCUCAACCUCGGGUCGCCGUUGAAACUGGCGGUCUUGAGUGGGCGAGAGGUAUGCGGAAUGCGUGGUGUAGCGGUGAAAUGCAUAGAUAUCACGCAGAACUCCGAUUGCGAAGGCAGCAUACCGG